rnacentral:tRNA from 1 species
GCCGAAGUGGCGGAACUGGCAGACGCGUUGGAUUCAAAAUCCAAUGGGGCCUCGCCUCGUGUGGGUUCGAUUCCCACCUUCGGCA